rnacentral:lncRNA from 1 species
CCUGCAGAGAGGGCGGAUUUAACCAAGCUUCCCACUGGCUGGCCUGCCCAGGCGCUUCCAAGCGGCUGACAGGAGGUCGGAGAGAGAGAAUCCAGGGCUGGUGCCUACGACAUUCUGGGCAGCAAGGACAUCCUCUGGGCUGGCAGCAUCUCAGACACAGUCUGUCCCACAUUGGGAGUUGAUGGAGGACAGCAGGCACCAAGCUCCUCACCUACACCCUGGCUCGAGUGGGCUUUGCAUACAUGUCACUAACGGAAAACUGUGCUAAAUCUGAGAUCUGAUCACAACCAGAGAACCCAGAAAAUCCUGUCUUGAUGGCUGUCAGUCCUCCAAUCUGUGAAUAUUCAGGAAGGUAUUAUGCCCAGGACAAUAACAAACAAUUACAAUAAUAACAACAACAACAAAAA